rnacentral:rRNA from 1 species
UACGUAGGGUGCAAGCGUUAAUCAGAAUUACUGGGCGUAAAGCGUGCGCAGGCGGUUUUGUAAGUCAGAUGUGAAAUCCCCGGGCUUAACCUGGGAACUGCGUUUGAAACUACAAGGCUAGAGUGUGGCAGAGGGGGGUGGAAUUCCACGUGUAGCAGUGAAAUGCGUAGAGAUGUGGAGGAACACCGAUGGCGAAGGCAGCCCCCUGGGUUAACACUGACGCUCAGGCACGAAAGCGUGGGGAGCAAACAGG